GCCCGGGUGGCUCAGCGGUUUGGCACCUGCCUUUGGCCCAGGGCGUGAUCCUGGAGACCUGGGAUCGAGUCCCAGAUCGGGCU
rnacentral:tRNA from 1 species